rnacentral:rRNA from 1 species
UACAGAGGUCCCGAGCGUUGUUCGGAUUCACUGGGCGUAAAGGGCUCGUAGGCGGCCAACUAAGUCGGACGUGAAAUCCCUCGGCUUAACCGGGGAACUGCGUCCGAUACUGGAUGGCUUGAGUUUGGGAGAGGGAUGCGGAAUUCCAGGUGUAGCGGUGAAAUGCGUAGAUAUCUGAAGGAACACCGGUGGCGAAGGCGGCAUCCUGGACCAACACUGACGCUGAGGAGCGAAAGCCAGGGGAGCAAACGGG